rnacentral:misc_RNA from 1 species
UCCCCGUUAUCCGGGGCAGUCUCGUGUGACAUAUCUAACACACGACAAGGGUUGCGCUCGUUGCGGGACUUAACCCAACAUCUCACGACACGAGCUGACGACGACCAUGCAGCACCUGUCACCAGAUUCCCGAAGGCACAGUCUAGUUUCCUAGACCUCUCUGGGAUGUCAAGCCUCGGUAAGGUUCUUCGCGUUGCGUCGAAUUAAACCACAUGAUCCACCGCUUGUGCGGGUCCCCGUCAAUUCCUUUGAGUUUUAAGCUUGCGCUCGUACUCCCCAGGCGGCACACUUAACGCGUUAGCUACGCAGCACAGGGGGUCGAUACCCCAUACUACUAGUGUGCAUCGUUUACGGCGUGGACUAC